rnacentral:rRNA from 1 species
AUGAGGUGGGUAGUAGUAUAUUCCGGCGAAAUACACCGCCAACAGCAGCAGGAACGCGGCAACAACGAUGUUCUGGAUCAAGAGCAUGACCAGCACCAGCACCGUCGGCACCAGGACCACUUCCAUCCGGCUGCUAGGGAGGACGACCGCGAGCAGCAGGAACCAGAGGCGAGGAUGAAGAUGAGGGUAUUGUCGGUCACCGUCUCCUGCACGUCAGUCACCUGCACAUACCACUCCAUCAGGGUCUCAUUGCAGAUGACCCACCCAAAGGCCAGGACCACCAUGAGAGGUACCAUCGGAGACGGCACUGGCGAGGCACCUGGACUUCCCCGGUAG